CCCUUAUUGCUGGAUGUUUGAUCAUUUAGCUCAUGUGGCAUUGUAAUUCUACGUCCCAGAUACGCUGGCGAAUUGUAGUCCUAGCUUUCUCGAAGCCUGUCGCUGUCAGGGUCUGCUGUGGGAUCCCCAAGCCUUUAAGCUUUUCCAGCAGUGUAGCUUUCCAUUUGGAUUGGUAGGUAUCUAUUUUUUUUUUUAAAUGAUAUUUAUUCCAAAUUUAAAAUUACAAAACAGAAAAAGAAAAACCCAUACAAAAUACAAAGAAAACUUUAACCGUAACAAAGCGUAGAAUGAACAAAUAAAAAAGAACAAUAAGAUAGAAUAUAAAAGAAGACUUAACAAAAAAUAUAAAAAUACAUUAAGUUAAAAUAAGACAAAAAACAGAUUAAACCUUUACUUAGCCUUUUUCCCUUUACUUAUUUCCAUGACCUCCUCUCACCUCCCAAUUUUGUAUUCUAUUUCAGAUCGUAUUUCCAGCAAAUCCUUCAAACCUUCUUUUCAUUUACGUAUUUUAAAAUUAAAAUAAUGUAAUUAAACCUCCUCUAUUUCAUCGAUUUCCACACCUCAUUUUUACUUAGUCCAUUAUAUCAUAUCUGCCAAAAUGACCUAAUAUUCUUUUUCCAACCUCUUUCCAACAUUCUUUUAUAUUACAGUAUUUUUGAAGAUAUAUUUUGAAUUUUUUCCAGUCUUCUUCCAUCGACCCUUCUCCCUGUGGAUUGGUAGGUAUCUAAUAAGGUUAAAGGUGCCAGC